UUUUUUUUUUUUUUUUUUUAUCACUACGCUGUCUGUGAAGCUAGUUUCGCCAUAUUAAAAUUGGGUUUGAGAGUCUUUACUGAUACCUAAUAGGAUAGGUGUAAAAUAGAGGUUUAAAGGUCUAUAAUCCCCUUUCACUCUUUUUCUACAAUCACUGGCGUAACAUAAUUGGAGGAUGCCCUUGCUGCGGAUUCGUCUGGUCAUUGAGAUUCGCCUCUUUUGCUCUCCCAUUCGAAACCUGGCGGAAUUUCUACCCAUCAUCCCGUCCGAAGACCGAACUUGAUUACUAUACAAACACAAAAAACAAUUUGACCCUUUGCAGAUUCUGCCUCGCUGAGUGGUUUUGUAUCACAGUCUUCUAGCCCCGAAGCCUAUCGGAAUAAGGCAGGCCGAAGUGAUAAACUGAUCUAUUGACCCUUUCUUUUUCGGAGUUUGGGUCUAUUACCAGGCUUGGACCAGGUCUACCAAACGGUGACGAACCAAUUCCUCUUUUCGCUUCCGUUACAACUGGAGGUCUUCCGCUUUAGUUGUGUCGCAUACUUCCCCGCCCCCUAACACAAGAAAAUAAGUGAACUUCCUAACGAUUCUAAUCAGGUUUCCUAUUGUUAUUGAUAGGGAUUCAAGUGCGUAAAACACCUCUUCAAGAGAAGACCCUAAGUAGCUG
rnacentral:misc_RNA from 1 species